GAUGAACGCUGGCGGCGUGCCUAACACAUGCAAGUCGAGCGAACAGACGAUGAGCUUGCUCCUCUGACGUUAGCGGCGGACGGGUGAGUAACACGUGGAUAACCUACCUAUAUUACUGGGAUAAUUUCGGGAAACCGGAUCUAAUACCGUAGAAUAUAUUGAACCGCAUGGUUCAAUGGUGAAAUACGGUUUUUCUGUCUCUUAUAGCUGGUUACGGGCGGUAUUAGAUGGUUGUUAAGUUAACAGCUUACCAAGGCGACGAUGCGUAGACGAACUGAGAGGGUGAUAGGCCACACUGGAACUGAACCACGGUCCAGACUACUACGGGAGGCAGCAGUCGGGAAUCUUACGCAAUGGGCGAGAGCAUGACGGAGCAAGGCCGCGUGAGUGAUGAAGGCCUUCGGUUCGUAAAGCCCUGUUAUUAGGGAAGAACAAAUGUGUACGUAGAUAUGGCCGUAUUGACGGUACCUAAUCAGAAAGCACCGGCUAACUACGUG
rnacentral:rRNA from 1 species